rnacentral:rRNA from 1 species
ACCGUGGUGGCCGCGCGGUUCUGCGCGCGGCGCCCGACGGCGUUCACCGUGACCAAGACCGGCUGGCCGUGGGGCCGCGACCUGACCGUCACGGACGCCAGCGGCGCGGAGGUGAUGCGGGUGGACGGGUCCUUCCUCUUCGGCCGCUCCGUCCUCCUCGACGCCGCGUCGCGCCCCGUGCUCACCGUGCAGCGCCGGCCGUCCCUGUUCGAGGUCCGCCGGACGUGGAAGGCGUUCGAGGGGGACAGCACGAGCUCCAAGGACCUGCUCUUCUCCGCCGUCGUGCAGCCAUCGCUGACCAGCACGGGAGACAUCCACGUGCACCUCGACGGCGACAGGCGCCGCGACUUCGUCGGCGUCCGCCCCUGGUACCGCGGGACUGACUGCGCCGUCACCCACGCCGGCGCCACCGUUGCCCAGAUCGAAAGCUCGGGGGGGUUCUUGAGUCCGGCAAAGUAUGACGUCCGUGUCAACGAAGGCGUCGACCAUGCCUUCAUCCUGGGGCUCACCGUGGUUCUGGAGUGUAUACGGCUCGACGACGCUGAACAAGAGAGG